AGUCGUAACAAGGUUUCCGUAGGUGAACCUGCGGAAGGAUCAUUACCACAAUAUCUUUCUGUAUUCCGUGAACAAUUUUGAUAAUAACGAUUGUCACUCGUUUUUACGGACGAGUCGAUAAUGCCUUUUUUGUUUAUAAACUUAUAAAAAACGAAUGUUGUAUUGUAAUUGAUACAACUUUUAGCGAUGGAUGUCUAGGCUCUC
rnacentral:misc_RNA from 1 species